rnacentral:rRNA from 1 species
GCAUAUCAAUAAGCGGAGGAAAAGAAACCAACAGGGGAUUGCCCUAGUAACGGCGAGUGCAAGCGGCAACAGCUCAAAUUUGAAAUCUGGCUCUUUUAGAGUCCGAGUUGUAAUUUGCAGAGGGCGCUUUGGCUUUGGCAGCGGUCCAAGUUCCUUGGAACAGGACGUCACAGAGGGUGAGAAUCCCGUACGUGGUCGCUAGCUAUUGCCGUGUAAAGCCCCUUCGACGAGUCGAGUUGUUUGGGAAUGCAGCUCUAAAUGGGAGGUAAAUUUCUUCUAAAGCUAAAUACUGGCCAGAGACCGAUAGCGCACAAGUAGAGUGAUCGAAAGAUGAAAAGCACUUUGGAAAGAGAGUCAAACAGCACGUGAAAUUGUUGAAAGGGAAGCGCUUGCAGCCAGACUUGCUUGCAGUUGCUCAUCCGGGCUCUUUUGCCCGGUGCAUUCUUCUGCAGGCAGGCCAGCAUCAGUUUGGGCGGUGGGAUAAAGGUCUCUGUCACGUACCUCUCUUCGGGGAGGCCUUAUAGGGGAGACGACAUACCACCAGCCUGGACUGAGGUCCGCGCAUUUAUGCUAGGAUGCUGGCGUAAUGGCUGUAAGCGGCCCGUCUUGAAACACGGACCAAGGAGUCUAACAUCUAUGCGAGUGUUUGGGUGUCAAGCCCGAACGCGUAAUGAAAGUGAACGGAGGUGGGAACCCGCAAGGGUGCACCAUCGACCGAUCCUGAUGUCUUCGGAAGGAUUUGAGUAAGAGCAUGGCUGUUGGGACCCGAAAGAUGGUGAACUAUGCUUGAAUAGGGUGAAGCCAGAGGAAACUCUGGUGGAGGCUCGCAGCGGUUCUGACGUGCAAAUCGAUCGUCAAAUUUGGGCAUAGGGGCGAAAGACUAAUCGAACUAUCUAGUAGCUGGGUUCCUGCCGAG